UACAGAGGGUGCGAGCGUUAAUCGGAAUUACUGGGCGUAAAGCGUGCGUAGACGGUAGCGUAAGUCAGAUGUGAAAUCCCCGGGCUCAACCUGGGAAUUGCAUUCGAUACUGGAUAGCUAGAGUUCGGCAGAGGGAAGCGGAAUUUCCGGUGUAGCGGUGAAAUGCGUAGAUAUCGGAAGGAACAUCAGUGGCGAAAGCGGCUUCCUGGACCAGAACUGACGAUCAGGCACGAAAGCGUGGGGAGCAAACAGGG
rnacentral:rRNA from 1 species